rnacentral:rRNA from 1 species
UACGUAGGGACCAAGCGUUGUUCUGCUUUAUUGGGUUUAAAGGGUGCGUAGGCUGCUUUAUAAGUCAGUGCUGAAAUAUCCCGGCUUAACCGGGAGGGUGGCAUUGAUACUGUAGAGCUUGAGUAAAGUUGAGGUUGGCGGAAUUGACGGUGUAGCGGUGAAAUGCUUAGAUAUCGUCAAGAACACCGAUAGUGAAGACAGCUAACUAAGCUUUAACUGACGCUGAGGCACGAAAGUGUGGGGAUCAAACAGG